rnacentral:lncRNA from 1 species
AUGCCUGGUGCUGUGCUGCACUGUGCCCCAUGCCAUGCUGUCACUGUGCUGUCUCUAUGCCGUGCUGUGCCCCACGCUGUGCCACGCUGUCCCUGUGCUGUGCCCCAUGCUGUGCUGUCCCCAUGCUGUGCCUCAUGCUGUGCCCCACACCAUGCCACACUAUCCCAGUGCUGUGCCCUACUCUGUGCCUCACUGUCCUCAUGCUGUGCCCCACGCUGUGCCCCACUGUCCCUGUGCUGUGCCCCACGCCGUGCCACACUGUCCCCAUGCUGUGCCCCACACCAUGCCAGUCGGCUGCAGUUGGGCACGCCACGCCGUGGCUCGUCACCACCCUUGCCCACGCCGGGAGAUCAGAGGGCGUGGGGCCGUGCGGCACCGGCACAGCCGUCGGUACGGGUCCCCCUGCGCCCCCUCCCACUCGCGGGGCUGACACCGCCUUCGUUAGCGCAGGCCUGGGACCAUCUGGCUGCAAUUAGAGGCAGCUCGGCGGCCCCCCGCCGCUGCGGCCCCGGCGGCCCCGCCAUGCACCGCGUGUCCCGGGCGAGCAGCGGCGGGAGCCCUGGGCCUGCGCGGUGGGGCCGCAUCCUGCCCACGCGGGGGGUUAUCGUCGGCCAUGGCGCUGCUCCCCCCCCACCCCCCCCCGCGCGCGGCCCUGACGUCAGCCGUGACGCCGAUCCACCCCCUCAGCCGCCCGCGGGCUUGGCCGGCCGUGACGUGGGCCGCCGCCGCUUAACUCCUUCCCCACUACCGGUUGAACGGGGGAGGGGGGGGCAGGCCCGGCUGACCCGCCGUGGUGCCGGAGCCAUGAUGGCAUGGACCCCUGCCACCGGCGAAGGCUGGUUGGUCACCUGCCCUGUGGCCGCCAGGCAAACACCACUGCCCCCGGUGCCGGUGGGACGUGCCAGUGGCAAACACCGGGGCUGUGGAGGGUGCCGGGGGCCAUACGGGGACAGGCUGGGACCGGGAGGUGCCGGGGGCGCGUGGUGGCCCUGGGCCACCGGAGCGAGGGCUGGGGCCACGAUCCAGUCCUGCCACCAGUGUCACCGCUGGCCCAGCCCAGGUCAGGAGUGGCCAUCUCGGAGGGUGCCACCGGGGCCCGGCCCGGUGUGUGCCUUUGUUCAUUUAUUGUGCCCUUUUACUGCUGGUGCCCGGUGCCGGUGCCCAGUGCCCCGUGCCUGCUCAGUGCUGGUGCCUGAUGCCCGGUGCCGGUUCGGUGCCCAGGGCCUGGUGGCUGGUGCUGGUGCCCAGUGCCUGAUGCCCGGUGUCUGCUUGGUGCCCGGUGCCUGUCCAAUGCCCGUGCCUGACGCCGGGUGCCUGCCCAGAGCGAAGCGCCCAGUACUGGUGCCUGCCCGGUGCCGGUGCCUGCCCGGUGCCUGA